GAUGAACGCUAGCGGGAGGCCUAACACAUGCAAGUCGAGCGGUAUGGGUAGCUUGCUACGCAGAGAGGGGCGUACGGGUGCGUAACACGUGUGCAACCUGCCCCUAUCCGGGGGAUAGCCGUCCGAAAGGAGGAUUAAUACCCCAUAAUAUAGCUGUUGGCAUCCCUAGAUAUUGAAAACCCCUGUGGAUAGGGAUGGGCACGCGCAAGAUUAGAUAGUUGGCGGGGUAACGGCCCACCGAGUCGGUGAUCUUUAGGGGUCCUGAGAGGGAGAUCCCCCACACGGGUACUGAGACACGGACCAGGAUCCUACGAGAGGCAGCAGUGAGGAAUAUUAGACAAGGGGGGGAAGCCUGAUCCAGCCGGCCCGCGUGAGGGACGACGGCCCUAUGGGUGGUAAACCUCUUUUGUACGGGGAUAGCCCUAUUUACGUGUAGAUAGCUGAAGGUACCGGACGAAUAAGCACCGGCUAACUCCGUG
rnacentral:rRNA from 1 species